GGGGUGACACAGUGACAGAGGGAGGGGUGACUAGUGAGAGUGCGGGAGUGGGUGACUAGUGACAGAGGGAAGGAUGGGUUGACUAGUGACAGUCACCACCUCCCUCACUCUGUCACUAAUCACCAUCUCCCUCUGUCACUAGUCACCCCCUCCCUCAUUCUGUCACUAGUCACCCCCUCCCUCACUAAUCACCAUCUCCCUCUGUCACUAGUCACCCCCUCCCUCAUUCUGUCACUAGUCACCCCCUCCCUCACUAGUCACACCCUCCCUCACUCUGUCACUAGUCACACCC